UACGGGGGAUGCAAGCGUUAUUCGGAAUCAUUGGGCGUAAAGCGCCUGUAGGUUGUUUAGUAAGUCUGUUGUUAAAGACUGGGGCUUAACCCCAGGAAAGCAAUGGAAACUACUAGACUAGAGUAUGGUAGGGGUAAAGGGAAUUUCUAGUGUAGCGGUGAAAUGCGUAGAUAUUAGAAAGAACACCGGUGGCGAAGGCGCUCUACUGGAUCAUUACUGACACUCAGAGGCGAAAGCUAGGGUAGCAAAAGGGAUUAGAUACCCCUGUAGUCCUAGCCGUAAACGAUGGAUACUAGAUGUUGCGUUUUUACAGUAUCGUAGCUAACGCGUUAAGUAUCCCGCCUGGGGAGUACGCUCGCAAGAGUG
rnacentral:rRNA from 1 species